AAUCAACGCUGGCGGCGUGCCUCAGACAUGCAAGUCGAACGCGAAAGUCCCCUUCGGGGGACAAGUAGAGUGGCGCACGGGUGAGUAACACGUAGGUAAUCUACCUUCGGGUGGGGAAUAACAACCGGAAACGGUUGCUAAUACCGCAUAAUGCAGCGGCACCUAAUGGUGACAGUUGUUAAAGCGGGGGAUCGCAAGACCUCGCGCCUGAAGGGGAGCCUGCGGCGGAUUAGCUAGUUGGCAGGGUAACGGCCUACCAAGGCGACGAUCCGUAGCCGGCCUGAGAGGGCGGUCGGCCACACUGACGCUGACAUACGGGUCAGACUCCUACGGGAGGCAGCAGUCGGGAAUUUUGGGCAAUGGGCGAAAGCCUGACCCAGCAACGCCGCGUGAAGGAUGAAAUCCCUCGGGAUGUAAACUUCGCAAGAACGGGGAGAAUAAGCCGGUGUAAAUACCACCGGCGAUGACGGUACCGUUUGUAAGCUCCGGCUAACUCCGUGCCAGCAGCCGCGGUAAUACGGGGGGAGC
rnacentral:rRNA from 1 species